rnacentral:lncRNA from 1 species
UUCAUAGCUGGAGUAGGACCACUAGGCUGCAUACCAAACCAAAGAGCCACUGCACCACCCGGGAGAUGCGUUGAUAGUGUGAACCAGAUUCUAGGCACAUUUAACCAAGGGCUAAGAUCACUUGUUGACCAGCUGAACCAGCGUUCACCUGGUGCUAUCUAUGUAUAUGGCAACACAUAUCGCGCAGUUGGUGAUAUCUUAAACAACCCAGCUACUUACGGUAUUAACCUCCUCCUAGAUUACAUUGCUGAUGAUAAACGGAGUUUCUAUGAGUAUCAAAAGAGGCUUAUGUAUUGUACAGGAUUCAGCAUAGCGGACAGGGCUUGUUGCGGAACAGGUAGGAACCAAGGACAGAUCACAUGUUUGCCGUUGCAGAAUCCUUGUCCUAACAGGUCACAGUACGUCUUUUGGGAUGCAUUCCAUCCUACUCAGACUGCAAACUCCAUUCUGGUCAGACGAGCUUUCUACGGCCCACCUACCGACGCUUAUCCUGUUAAUGUCCAACAGAUGACUCUCCUUCCCUAGUUGUUUCUUUUUUUCUCUGUGUUUAUAAGUCUUAAAAGUUGUGUGUUAUGAUACUUGAACCUGACUAUUAAGCUGAAAACCAAAAGGCUUUUACCGUAAAAUAACAUAGAAGUGCUAAUGACAACGGGAAGAAGCCCCAAAAUUAGAAGUAGUCUUAGAGAGGACAUGUUAAAAUUCAAGAACAGAGCAUACUAAGUUUUGUAUUACGCCAAACUUCAGACAAAAGAACACAAUGCAUUGUCAAUUUACUCCAUUCCUACUCCCAAAUCAGUCUUUACUCUUUACCCCACUCCAGCUCCAACUGCAUCGGAUCAGCCUUUGGAAGUGAAGCAAUCCCCUGCGCUGCAAUGCCAACGUCACCUCCUGUUAUCCGAUCCCAGCCUAGGAUGUGUGGAAGGGCAAACUGCACAUAAUACAAAAGCUGGUUUUAGAAAAAAAAACACAAACAGCUCUUCCUUAAGAUAAGAGAACAAUGAGAGAGCAGAAAAUUGAAAUCAUAUCUUACACUAAAAGCACUCUUCAGCACUGCAAAUUCAGCUUUGGAGACAGGAACCACAAUACGGUCAUUACUGUUUUGGAUGUUGUCGGUUACGCCUGCAAUAAUACCGCAGAAGUUAAGUGUUUUUGUACAUCAUUCCUAUUAUGAGAAGAAAACGCCUUAAAACUACUAUUUUACAAAACCAAAACAAGUGAGAGAAUUCUCCAACAAGUCAAGAUUUCAUUAGUAUUUAGACUGGCUCCACCAUUAGUUAGACCAAUACUGUGUAGAAGAAGGCCUUACUCAAUUGGAAGAAGUAGCCGGUAGAAUCUGCGAGUGGCUUGAUCGACAGUGACUUCCUGACUUGACCAGCAUUACUGAGAGGAAACAAAGAUCAUCAGAAGAUGAUUUUUUUUUCUGAAUUAAGCACACAUAUGCAACAAGUAAGCAAAUAACAAAACCUUGAUUUCAUGGAAGGGUCAUGGAAAAACUCAGAGCUGUCCUGGGGACCCAUGCUGAUCACAGAUCCAACUUCAGUAGGUGACAAAGCAAACAACUACAUCAACAAACAAGGAAGCAAACAGAAUCACAUAUAUAAGACAAAAAGGAUAUGAGUGAAGGUAUAUAAGUAUUAGACAAAGACCUGUUUCUUCUCCCAGUCGUACUUGCGCUCACUAACAGCAGGCAUAAAAGUCAUCAUCACAGAUCCACGACGAUCUAUCCUCAGAUUCCCAGGCUAAAACAUCAUUGUACACAGUAAGUGACGAGAAUCUCCAAAGCCUUAAAAGAAAAUCACACAAAAGGGGUUUUCGAAACCUCGAUUUUGGUGAAAGUGGGGAGGACAGGUUCAACAGAGAGUGCAGCUCUUCCUUUGAAGAUAGCGUACGGUGCGAACACACGACCACUAGGCUUAGCAUCAGCUUUGAAACAAAAGGGAAACAAAUUAGGGCAAAAAACUCAAAACAGAGACGAAAAGGAGAGCAAAGGAAGUAACUUUACCACGUUUGGUGGUAGAGGAAUCAACCCAGGUUGCGAAACCACGAAACGCCAAAGACCUAGAGCUUCCUUCGAAAAGUGAGUUGCUUUGGUUGCAAAGGCUCCUGCUUUUAGCAAAGAAAACAACAACAAAGAGGUCAUUUGAGAGAAAUGGGUUAAAAAUAAAUUAUUCUCUGGUUGGUAAAAUGUAUAUGGCAAGUACAGAGCUCUGUAGAUGUUAAAUCAAUAUUUAUCUGUAUGAAUCUCACGAAUUAGUUACUAGUUUAGCUAUUUAAGAGAUCAUUAUCCGUUGCACAGUUACAGUCGCAGAUAAUCUUCUCUCAUUACUUUCUUGAUCUUUAUCUGAAGAGGGUGAGAAAGUGCGUCAUGGUCUUUGUCUUAGCAUAUGCAAUUGUGGUUUCUUGUGAAAUUUCAAACGUGGUGCAAGCUUAUUGACUCGUUUUACAUGCAAGCAGCCGAAAACAAAAGAGAACCGUUACAAAAAUUGAAACGUAUUAACUCCUAUGUGUCACAUGCAGCAUGUUUCGCAUUAAACUUUAUAUAGUAAACAUUCCAUGCGUUCUAACUUGAAAACGAACACAAACUCAAAAAAGAUGAGAAUCCAAGGUAGAGGAUAUGCGUUUAUAGUUGCAGUGGUGGCGUCUUUUAUUUUAAAGCAGCCUGAGUUGUUAGUGACCGGACAAGCUACAGUUCCGGCUAUGUUUGUGCUGGGAGACUCAUUGGUCGAUGUUGGGAACAACAACUUUCUAGCAUCCGUGGCUCGAGCCAAUUACUUACCUUAUGGCAUAGACUUAAACUUCCGUCCUACUGGCAGGUUUAGCAACGGCAUGAACUUCGUUGAUUUGCUUGGUAACAUUUUAGACACUUUCUCUGUCAAAAAUCAGUUUAAUUUUAGCAUAACUCUCCUCUUACUGACACUGUUCCGAAAAAAAAAAAACAGCUCAGUUGUUAGGAAUCUCGUCGCCUCCUCCCUUUGCGGAUCCAACCACAUGGGGCACUAGAAUCCUUGGAGGAGUUAACUAUGCUUCUGCAGCUGGUGGCAUCCUCGAUGAAUCAGGACAACACUAUGUAAUUUUCUGAGUUUUGUUUCCUCACUUAUGAUGUAAGUGUUAGUAUAGUGUUGAUAGAGGCUUUUAAUGUGCAGGGAGACAGAUUCAGCCUGAGCCAGCAAGUGGUGAACCUAGAGGGGACGCUGAGCCAGUUGAGAACAAUGAUGAGUCCCCAAAACUUUACUGAUUACUUGAAAAAAUCGCUGGUGGUUCUCGUUUUUGGAAGCAAUGACUAUCUCAACAACUACCUUAUGCCUAAUCUCUACUCAUCCAGCUUCAGAUACAAACCGCCUGAGUUCGCCAAUCUACUUAUCAAUCAAUACGCUCGACAACUUCUUGUAUGCCAACAUCAAAAUCUUCAUAUACAGUAUCAUUUCAAUGAACCUUCUGAUAAUCAUUUUGAAACUAUUGUGUAGACUCUAUACAGCCUAGGUCUAAGGAAAGUGUUCAUAGCUGGAGUAGGACCACUAGGCUGCAUACCAAACCAAAGAGCCACUGCACCACCCGGGAGAUGCGUUGAUAGUGUGAACCAGAUUCUAGGCACAUUUAACCAAGGGCUAAGAUCACUUGUUGACCAGCUGAACCAGCGUUCACCUGGUGCUAUCUAUGUAUAUGGCAACACAUAUCGCGCAGUUGGUGAUAUCUUAAACAACCCAGCUACUUACGGUAUUAACCUCCUCCUAGAUUACAUUGCUGAUGAUAAACGGAGUUUCUAUGAGUAUCAAAAGAGGCUUAUGUAUUGUACAGGAUUCAGCAUAGCGGAC